rnacentral:rRNA from 1 species
CCCUUAGAUGUUCUGGGCCGCACGCGCGCUACAAUGAUGAAUUCAACGAGUUUAUAACCUUGGUUGAAAAGCCUGGGUAAUCUUUUGAACUUUCGUCGUGAUGGGGCUAGACCCUUGCAAUUAUUGGUCUCCAACGAGGAAUUCCUAGUAAACGCAAGUCAUCAGCUUGCAUUGAUUACGUCCCUGCCCUUUGUACACACCGCCCGUCGCACCUACCGAUUGAAUGGUCCGGUGAAAUCUUCGGAUUGAGACUUUGAUUUCUUCACGGAAAACGCUGUUUUAAAAAGUUGAUUAAACCUUACCAUUUAGAGGAAGGUGAAGUCAUAACA